UCCCUCCUCCUCCUCCCUCCCUCGUCUGCCGCCGCGACUCCCUCCCUCCUCGUCGCCCCUGCCUCCGCCCUAGGAGCUUCGCCGCCUCCCACGCACUUGUUCUCUCCCUCGUCUCAUCUUCUCUGUGCUUCCGCCACAGCCUCCGCUUCCCUCCUCCCUCUCACCGGCUUCAUCUCCCCCACCUCCAUCUCCCUACCUCCGCACCUGGCUAGCACGGUCAGACCAUGCUAAGUGGACGAGAAGGCGCCAUCUCGGGAGGCAGGCCACACCUUCCAUGACGGCGCCCUGAUCUGCCGGAUCUUCCUCCUCAUCAGUCCAACACAGAGGAUUGGCGGAUCCGCCUCAUCUUUGGCGUCAUCGACCAGAGAAGGUGUUUUUUUUUCUUCUAGGUUGAUGGAUGGGGUAGGCGAAGAGGAGUGGCGGAUCUGCGUCCUCUUCGGCAUGCAGUUGUGCUCUCCAUUUUUGUGAGCUCGUCGCCUGUUGAGUUUGUUGUCGUUCUUGCACUGGUGCUGCUGCCGUGGAGGGCUUGGUUUAAUCUUGUCUACGGUGGGAUGGGGAUUCAGAGGAUAGAUUUUAUUGGCAGUAAGAAGUUAAGAGGUCAAGCGUGAGACGUCACAUGUCAAGGGAGAUUUUAGUUUUUUCGUGUCUGUGUGUGCAGCUUGUCUACGGUGGGAUGGGGAUUCAGAGGAUAAAUUUUAUUAGCAGUAAGAGGUUAAGAGGUCGAGCGUGAGACGUCACAUGUCAAGGGGAUUUAGUAUUUAGUCUCUUCUAAUCUGUGAAGAGAGACUACUGGUUUAAAGAGAAUCGAUACUUUAACAAGGUUUCUUCCAAUUCAACAAAGUCAGCUAUGGAGCUUUUCGAGGCAGCAGGACAUGAUGCCGCACGGAGAUGGGGAUGGCCAUUCCCGCCCCAAUGACGCCGGCCGAUGUCAGUGAGAGUAUCACCACCGACAACGGCUCCAACGAGCUCUCCAUGAGCUCCUGGGACGACACCAACUCCAACAUCAUGUUCUUCGCGCCUGGAAGCAAGAAGGCCAAGGUGCUCAUCAAUGGUGACAACGGCAUGGUCACCAACUUCAGCAAAAUCAAAUCCCAAUUUGGCCUGUCGAGCACGUCUUUGGACAUGCCCGGCAUGGACGGCUACUUGCAGCCGCAGCAGGACUUCGUCGCCUGCAUAGUCUUGAGACAAGCGUGUCUGCGCCACUCACCCGUGAAGCAUCACUAAGAGGCAAAGAAGAACAAGCAUUAGCAAGAGGCUAAGGAGGCUGCAAGACCUUGUGCCCAACAUGGACAAGGUAACUCUUACAGAAAUGUAGGGAAAGGCUGCGUACUAUAGACCCAAAGUGGUCGGACCCUUCCCUGGACCCUGCGCAAGCGGGAGCUACAUGCACCAGCUAUUCUCUCGGAGAAGUCGUUCAAUACAAUUGCUGGAAACAUGUUAAGUUUCUUCUUGAAGACGCAGCAAACAAAUACUUCAGAUAUGCUGGAUAUUGUUGUAGACUACAUCAAAGGGCUGUAGGACUGAACUGAGGUAUGCUCCACGCAGACACAAAGGUUAUAUAGCACACGUUUCCAGGAGGCCUUGUUAAAAAAUAUCAUUUUCUGCUGCAUAUUAACAUGUUUCGUUAAUUUUUAGACAAGUACAAACUGACUAACUAAUAACAACAUAUUUGUUUGCAAAUAGAAAAUGAUAAGAUGUAACGUUUAUUAUGUAAAAAUGGAUUUAUGCGCUUAUUGUCCACGGUUUGGCUUACUUGUUUGGUAUGCAAUGUGCUUGUGGUUCAUAACUGUCCACUGCACCAUUGGGUAAUAGCUAAUGUAAUAAGGAAGGAAAUUUACUUUGAUUCAGGGUCUGGUAGAUAUGUCAUAUAUGUGAUCUUGGAAUUUUGAUAGGCGUUUGUUGACAAACAUGCAAGAUCUAUUUUUUGUGUUUCCGACCUGCAUGUUUUUUUGGCUACAAUGGCUUGAUCAGAGAUGUGAGGAAUAUAUCAAUUGUUUCCCGUGGUAUUUGCCAUAUUUUUGUUUCAUACAUCUCCAAUUCGUCACUUUUUAGUUCCCAACAUGCUGCCGAAAUGCAGAUUGUAUGUGCAUCCUUGGUAGAGUAAUGCAUACAUGGAGUGUGUUCAUUUUUUAGAAACUGAAGAUUAAUACAAAGUUAUAUGGUUUUAUUUUUUGGGUCAAAAGUUUGAUUUAUGCAGUACACCAAUUAAUUCUCGAUACAUUUUGCGUAUUCAGCUUUUUGAUUAACUAUACAAAGUGCUCAUCUUGCUUCGGAUUCAAGUGAUCAGAUCUUGAUGAGAAGCAUGGCUAAAUGCACCUCCAACCACUAGAUUUAUGUGCCAAAAGUUUGAUUGAUGUAAUUCUCAAUGCAUCUAAGGUAUUCAACACCUCCCCAUAACUGCAUAUACUUUACGAUGCUAAUUUUGAGUUAACAAUUGCUUAAUAUUUCACCAUGCAGAUAUAUGACAUGAACAUUUUUCUAAUAUACAUAAAAAGAUUGUGCAUGUGCUAUUUGUAGUUUUUUGUACCUGGUCUAAUUUUUUAAGGCAUAUUCUUAGGAUUGCAUUCUGCUUAUUAGGCAUUGUUAAUUGUUUGAUCAUGAUGUAGAACAUAUCAAAACAAUAGGCAAACCAUAAAGGGUGAUUUGGUGGAAUAUGUAUCCUGGUUACUACAAGAAAUCAGUCAAGCAUGCUCGUACCUGCAGCCCUCAGUGGCGAGACAAAGGAUUCAGCCAUGGGAAGCAUUCUUGCCAAGUACAUACGGUUGGAUCUUGUGGCUCCUCCGUUGCACCAUGGAAUCGGCUUGACAAGCAGCGCACGUUGAACAGCGACAAGCAUGGCUAAUGACACAAGCUAACCCUAUUGGUCAGCUCUCCGUGAACACAUAGGUUCCUAUCACAUUUAUCCCCACCAAGCUUCAAUGAUAGAGAGAGCUACAUAGAGGUUUGACUGAGCGAGAUGGGGUUGACGGACAAGAAGAGGAACCAGAGGGGGGGGGGGUGCUCUUGCGGUGCUUGGCUUGUUCCAAGACCAUGAGGGGAAGGACUUGCUGGUGCGUGCUAUGAAUUGUUUUUGGUAUAUCCGUCUUUGAACAGGUUUAUGUGAUUGGCGGGGAUGGAACAAUGAGAGGAGCAGUGGCCAUAUUCGAAGAGUUUAAACGAUGUGGUUUGAGGAUAUCCAUUACAUGGAUCCCAAAAAACUUGGACAACGACAUCGACAUUAUAGACAAGGCGUUUGGGUUUCAAACCGCAGUGGAGAGUGCUCAGUAGGAAAUCGAUGCGACACAUGUGGGGUUGUGAAUACUGUGGAUGGCAUUGGUCUUGUCAAACUUAUGGGAAGGAGCACGGGCCACAUUAUUCUUCAUGCGACCCUGAGCAGCAUCAGAUGUUGACUGUUGUUUGAAUCCUGAGAUCGAUUUUCAUGUUGAAGGGAAGGGGCAUGUUGUCGUUGUUGUUGCUCAAGGCGCUGGUCAGGAGUUGAUUCCCCGGAUUGAUGACCAGAAGCGAGAGCAGGAUGAGUAUGGCAACAUGUUGUUCCUUAGAGUUGGCCUUCUUCUAUAAAGUUUACAUACAAUUCACAUGCAUGGUUAAAAAAGCUACUAUACUAAUGUAAAUGUUCUGUUUCUUUGAAGAUUACUCAUUUCGCUUA